rnacentral:rRNA from 1 species
CCUGGUGGUUAUAGCAAGUGUGAAACACUCCUUCCCAUCUCGAACAGGACAGUGAAAAACCUUAGCGCCGAUGGUACUCUGGCUUAAGCCACGGGAGAGUAGGUCGCUGCCAGGU